AGUGAACGCUGGCGGUAGGCCUAACACAUGCAAGUCGAACGGCAGCACAGUAAGAGCUUGCUCUUACGGGUGGCGAGUGGCGGACGGGUGAGGAAUACAUCGGAAUCUACUUUUUCGUGGGGGAUAACGUAGGGAAACUUACGCUAAUACCGCAUACGACCUACGGGUGAAAGCAGGGGAUCUUCGCACCUUGCGCGUUUGAAUGAGCCGAUGUCGGAUUAGCUAGUUGGCGGGGUAAAGGCCCACCAAGGCGACGAUACGUAGCUGGUCUGAGAGGAUGAUCAGCCACACUGGAACUGAGACACGGUCCAGACUCCUACGGGAGGCAGCAGUGGGGAAUAUUGGACAAUGGGCGAAAGCCUGACCCAGCCAUACCGCGUGGGUGAAGAAGGCCUUCGGGUUGUAAAGCUCUUUUGUUGGGAAAGAAAAGCAGCAGGUGAAUACCCCGCUGUUCUGACGGUACCCAAAGAAUAAGCACCGGCUAACUUCGUG
rnacentral:rRNA from 1 species